CUUUGACUCGCCCCUGCUUGGACUUGGCCACCGGGUCGUCGCGCGACUUUCGCCCGCGUUGCGCCUCCACCAGCACGGCCUGCCUGGGCGCCAGCAGCCGGGCGACACGCGCGCCUCGUAGCAUCGCCACCGCUUGCAGCACUUAACGUCCACGGGCGGCGGCCAUCUUGCGUGUGUCACCUAACCAGGAAGUGAUCGGAAGUGGAACCCGGAAAAAAAUUUCCUCGAGACUCUCUUGCCAUCUAGCGGUCGGGGUCCGGUCGUGAGGUGGACUCGGCUGGACGGGUGGCCGGUUCCGAACUGCCUGCCUCUUUGAUGUACAGACCUCUGAAGCAAACACGGUGGGGAUGAGUUCACAGUGAGUGCGCCCCCUCCCUCGUACGCACCUGCUCCCCCCUUUCUUGCCAUUGUCUCCACGUCCCCACGGCAGGCCGCUCAUUAAUAUGCAUUCAAAUAAUAAUCUGUGUGUGUGUGAAUAUCCAGUCAGAUGCGUGAUUUGAGCUUGAUGAACAACUUGACUGCGUAAAUCUCAUUUGAUGACAAAUUGACUGAUUGAUUGGUGACUUUGUUGGAGGCGGGGCACGGGUGGGGGCUUCCUGUUAUUAAUAUUUGGGAGAGAAUACAAUCACUUUUUAUUCGUUCUUCAGAUUGUGGUUUUACUGGAGCAGAUAUGUCAAAUAUAGUUUGUGUAAUCACCAGCGUUGUACGGAGCCAAAAACGUCAGGAAAAUGGUUUUAAAAUCAAUUUCUGCUUCGGGGUUUUGCUUCUGCAGUACAGCAGAAUUACGAUGCAGUAUUUCUGUUUCUUCAAAGUAGUAAUUUGUAUCUUGAAGUGAUCUCGAUCGUUUAGGAUCUUUCUUUGUCACGGAGGAGCUCAGUUUAGGCCGGGUUGUUAGCGAGAGUCUCAGUUGCAUGCGUAUGAUCCCAUCGUACAAAUCAUCAUCUGGAAGAUUUUUUUUUUAAUUGCACAUUUUC